UGAGGAAUAUUGGUCAAUGGGCUUACGCCUGAACCAGCCAAGUCGUGUGAGGGAAGACUGCCCUAUGGGUUGUAAACCUCUUUUGUCAGGGAGCAACGCCGGCUACGUGUAGCCGGACUUGAGAGUACCUGAAGAAAAAGCAUCGGCUAACUCCGUGCC
rnacentral:rRNA from 1 species